rnacentral:lncRNA from 1 species
UCUCUCUAUAACUUCAUAUGGUCCGAUAAACCGAGGACUUAACUUUCCUUUUCGGUCAAAUCAUAAUACUUUCUUCCAAGGAGAAACUUUGAGAAACACUUUAUCCCCGACUGAGUAUUCAAUGUCCCGACGUUUCAGAUCAGCAUAAGAUUUUUGUCUGUCAAAAGCUGCUUUUAAUCUCUGUUGAAUCUUCUUGACUGUUUCUUCUGUUUCACGAAUUAAUUCAGUCUUAAGUAUCUUCUAUCACAGAAAGAGUUGAAUUUGAGGCAGUGUCGAUGGAUAGAACUUUUAAAAGAUUAUGAUUGUGUUAUUGAUUACCAUCCAGGUAAAGCUAACGUGGUAGCUGAUGCAUUGAGUAGGAAAGCAGCAAUUGAAUUGCGAGCGAUGUUUGCUCAGCUCAAUAUUAGUGAUGAUGGAAGUUUAUUGGCUGAAUUAAGAAUUAAACCAGUGAUGUUUGAACAAAUCAAGUCAGCUCAAUUAGAAGAUGAUAAGCUAAUGAAGAAAAAAGAAAUGGUUCAGAGCGACACAGUAGGGAAUUUUAGUAUUGAUGAGUAUGAUUGUUUCAGAUACCGAGAUCAGAUUUGUAUUCCAAUCAAUUCAGAGAUUAAAGAAUUAAUUCUUCGAGAAACACACGAUGGUCCAUUUGCUCUACACCCUAGAGGCACAAAGAUGUAUCGUGAUUUACGAGAAUUGUACUGGUGGCCUGGGAUGAAAAAAGAUAUAGUUGAAUAUGUCAGUAAAUGCUUGGUUUGUCAGCGGGUGAGAGCAGAGCAUCAGGUUCCUACUGGAUUAUUACAGCCGAUUACUAUUCCAGAAUGGAAAUGGGAUCGUGUUACGAUGGAUUUCAUUACGGGAUUGCCAUUAUCUGCAAGUAAGAAAAAUGCUAUAUGGGUAAUAGUUGAUCGACUCACAAAUCGGUUCAUUUUAUAGCUGUCAGAAUGGAUUGGUCACUUCAGAAACUUGCAGAGGUCUAUAUUCGGGAAAUUAUAAGGUUGCAUGGUAUACCAGCUUCUAUAAUUUCUGAUCAAGAUCCUCGGUUUACAUUGAGAUUCUGGAAACAGUUACAUGAGUCUUUGGGUACUAAACUUGAUUUCAGUACAGCAUUUCAUCCACAGAUUGAUGGGCAAUCUGAGCGAGUAAUUCAAAUUUUGGAAGAUAUGCUUCGAGCUAAUUAUUCUAAAAAUUUCGAUAAUGCCUCGUAUCCUAUCCCGGAUCUCAGGUACGGGUAUGGGGUAUUACAACCUAGAAAUUUGGUCAUUUUAAUAAAAUAUUUCAAUUUACUAAAACAACAAUUUUGGUCUACGAAAUUUGAGAAAACGGGUUCGGGAGUCGGUUACGUACGAGGAAGGAUUAGCACCCUCGUAACGCCCAAAAUUGGUACCUAGUUGAUUAAUUAAUGUCUUAAUGUCGAAAUUUAAAAACUCAAAAAGAAUUAAAAAUACGAUCCUUUCUUUUUUGACUUUUUAUGAAGAAUUUGCUUGCGUAAAUUGAAACGAAUGUUAAAGACCUUCUUGUCCCGAAGUAAUAAAAUGUCACAUCCAGUAAGUUAGGACACAACAUUUUAAAACCUCGAUAAUAAGCUUGUCUUUUGAUUUUCAAAAUUCAUGCAUUUUAAUUUCAAAAGGUUAUUUGGUCAUUUGGGUCAAACGAAGAAAAUCGAAACCCAGCAUGUUAGGGCACGAUCUCUAGAAUUUCUAAAUACAGAACAUUGCCUUAAUUUUCAAAAUCUUUCGAAUAAAUACACAUGUAAUGUUUGAAACUAUGCAUAUUUAUUUUAUUUGGAUUAUAGUGUAAAGAAUGGACAUUUAAACACGGCUCGUGACAUAAUUGGAAUAAUAGUAGAAUGAUAACACGAAUAAGCGAUAUGACUAUAUAUAUAUAAUGAUGAAGCAACAAAUAAGCAAUGACAAUGAUCAAUUAAAUUUAAUAUUAAUUAAGUAAUAAUAGUAAUAAAAAUGAAAUAAAAUGGUGAUAAGAAAGUAGGUAAAAUGCAUAUACAUGAAGUUAAAUUUAAGUGUUUGAAAACAAAAGAAUGAAAAAUAAAUAAAUUAGUAUAAGUAAAUAUAAAAUUAGGUAAAAAAAUGAACAUAAAAUAUUAAUAACAAUAAUAGUAAAAAUAAUAAAAAUAAAUAAUAUAAAAUUUGAAAGUAUAAAAAGAUAUAAACAAAUAGAUAGUAAAAAUGAUAAUAAUAUGGGUAAAAAUAAAAAUAUAACCAAUCUAUAAAAAAUAAUAAUAAAUAAAUAAAUAAACAAACAAAUAAAUAAAUAUUGAAUAUUAACUAAAUCAGUUUAAUGGUAUAAUAAUAAUAAUAAUAAUAACAACGACAUGAGUAAAUACGAAAAGGAAAUAUAUAAUGUAAUAUAAAAUUAAUAUGAUGAUAAUAAUAGUGAUAAUACAAUGAUAAUAAUAAAAUGGAAGAUAAUAGUGAUGAUACAUUAAUAGGAAUAAUAAUAUUAAUAAUAACAAUAACAGAAAAAUAAUAAUAAAAUAAUAAUAACAAUAAAAUAAUGAAUAAUGACAACAAUAAUAUAAAUAAUAAUAGAAAAACAAUAAUAGAAAUAGCAACGAUAAUAAUAAAUAAUAAGAGUAAUAGUAAUAAUAAUAAUAAUAAAUAAUAAUAAUAUGUAAUAAUACUCUAAACAUAGAAGCAUAUAACAAUGUAUGUAUAGAGAAAUAAAUGAAUAAACAAUAAUAAUGCAAGUAAUAAAAGCAUAUUAUGAAGAUAACAAUACGUGAAGAAAUAAAAAUAAAAUAAAAUAAAAUGCUGAAUAUUAGAUUAAUUAAUUUUAGUAACAUAAUAAUAUUAAUAUGGAAGGACUAAAUUGAAAUCAAAAUGGGAUUUGAGGGCUUAAUUAGGAAAAGAAUAAAAUAGGGGAUCACAUUGAAAGGCGCGGAUAACAUGGAGGGAUCAUAUGGGGGAAUAUCCCCGCCCUCCAAAACGCUGCACUUCAUGCGGGAUUAAAUUGAAAACUAAAAUAAAUUAAUAGUCACAAAAUAAGAGAACUUAAUCACAAAUUGAUUAAAAAGCGGAAGGGCUGAAAGUGCAAUUAGCCCUUCCGCUACAAAACACGCAGGUCCUGGCUAGGCGGGUCGGGUCGACCCGUUUCACCCCAAAUCAACACCAUUUUGCAUCUGAGGGCUUAGAGCCAAAACGGUACCGUUUUGGUACCACUACUUAAAUUAAAAUUUCAGUUUUUUUUUUAUUUUCAACACUUUCAAAAAAAAAGAAAAGAAACCCCUCAACUCUCUCUCACUCUCCCUUCAUCAGAACACUGAUUCCGGAGAAAAAGCCACUGUGGUGGCGACGGACGAACCACCAGGUGAGACUUUUUGUAUUUUCUUUCUUUUAGCUAAUGAAAAUAAGGAAAAAUAACGGUAAAAAAGAAAGAACUACAGAUAAAAGCACUUUUGUUUUUUUAUUGCUUUCUGAGUUUGUAUUGAUAUUUUUUUUGUAUAUGAGUGUUCGUAUAGCAACUAAGAUCAAUUCACAUUUUAAUUUAUAACAUAAAACAUCCCAAUAUAAGGUAAACAUGUAUAUAAAACGUUUCGGGUACAUUUUCAGGUCUUAUACGAGCUUACGAAAGCUCUAUUGCUAACUCGAGGUCGAUUUAGGACCAAAUUGUAAGAAUUUCAUAACAUUGGGUUGACGUUGCGAAGUCGGGGGUUCCUCGUCGCGACGCAACAUACUGAGUAGGUCUCAUCAUGACCUCGAAUACAUGUCGUCACAACAUGAAUCCUAUGUUGCUCCUCGUCGUGACGUUAGGGAUAUGUCAUCGUGAUGUGAUAUUCUAUUUCUAUAAAAAUGAACAUGGUACAAGUUUGAGAGACCUGUAAUAAUACUUUACAUUUCAAUUAUAACCAAAACAAAAUUAUGCCAAAAUGGUACUUCAAAACAACAUCGAGCAUCCAAGUUUUAAAUUCAACCAUUUUCGAUACAAAAUCGACUUAAACCUUAGGUACAUGUCAUAUACUAAUCAAAAGAGAACUUUACAAACUUUAUUGAGUCAGGGAUCGCUUGCUAGAUGUUGGAACAACUGCUCAAACUAUCUAGAAUCUACUAUACCUAUGCACGGAGAAAACAAAUUGUACACUGAACAAUUACGCUCAAUGGUAAUUUCCAUAUUUCAAGUUACAAAUAAGCAUUAUCAAUACAAGAAUUCAAUUCAAAUAUACUACAAUUCAAAUGAAACAAUUUGCGUAUUCAAUAUAAGAAUUCUAUUCUCCUACAACAUUCCAUUUGAUAGUCAAACUAACAUUUAUAUCAUUCGUUCUUUUAACAAAGAUGUAACAUAUCUAAUUGAAUUACUUACAUAUACAAUUAUGUACCAGUAUGAUGUUUAAUCUCAUUUCCAUUCCUAUUUUAUACAACUUAAUCAAUUCAUAUUAUCAUUUAUAGUCACAUACGCUCCUUCAUUUACUAUGACCAAUAUGAUGCCCUUGUUACCAGAGCAGUAUUCUAUUAGUUUAAGACCACUUAUUUGGAAGCACAAUUUUAAAAUAAUAAUCUGUUGCAUUUAAAGAUUUAAUGAUGCAUGAGUUAACCUUUGGCGGCUGUUUAAUUUUAAUAUCAAUAAGUCACAAAUAACAUUAUGUCAUCAAAACUUUCGAUACACAUUCAAGUGUUUAAAAUAAUGUUCAAUACAGUUUAAAUGGUUUCAAAAUUGCGGUAUCUAAUAGUUGUCCUAGCACCCCUAGCAAAUACAUGUUAACCCUGAAAAUAAGAAGGCUCACAAAUGGUCGCAAAUUUGACUGUAUCCCUUCAAUCACCACGCUCAACCUAAGAACCUGAAGGGAAGAAGAAUUUGGGUAAGUUCAUGUGAACUUAAUGAGUUACUGGGAAGAACGAUCCCACCAUAAUUACUCUCAGUCAUUAGGAAAUGGGACAUGUAAUUACUUUGAUCAAUAGAUCAACUGGCGAAUACUACCACAAUUAAACUCAACAUAUUGGUGGAUAGAACUAGUUACUAACUCAUAUAUGACAGUCAUUGAUACAUCUACUCCACGAAUACGCCACUUAUAUGGGCUACCAUUUAUGAUUGGCAGACUUACUAUUUACGUUCUCAUGCAACGUGCACUACCGCAUGCAACCUUUCUUACGUACCCUUUUUUUGUGCUAGUUUCUGAUCCCAAUUCCCGAAGAACCAAUUUUUCUUAUAUCUUUAUAUCCACUCAUCAGAUUUAUUUAAAAAUAAAGCUCUCAUGAACUCAAAUCUAUAAAAAAUUAUAAGAAAAGGUUUUGGUUACCUUAACAAAUUUUUGGUCGAAGCUUAACUCUCCAAAAAAAAAAAGAGUUUUUAUUUGGUUUUUGCUUCAAUAGAUGGUGGGGAAGAUGAUAUUCAUUACCUUUCUCCACUUACAUGAUUUAUAUAGUGUGAUUAACACUAAUUAACCAAGUUUAAUUAAAUUAAACUUAAUUUAUACUUUAAUUAAUCUUAAUUUAGUAAUAAUUAAAUAUUUAAUGGUAACCAUCAUCAAAGUCCACUAAAUAAUGAUUAUUAUUGGUUUAUUAACCAUUUUAGCCCCUUGGAUAAUUACUAUCUAGGUCCCCAAGUUUUUUUCUUAAUAAAAAUCUAUAGCAAUUAAAUAUUUACAAAUUUAGUCCUUGAACCUUAAUUAACUAUUAAUUCGGCAAAAUUACUAGACCAAACUUUAAGAUAACAAUAUAUUAUACACGUAAAUAUUACGAACUUGGUUUAUGGAAACGAGAUCCUGAGAUUGCAAUUUUCGACACCAAUAAAUUUCAGGUCGUUACAAGUUAAUCCUAAAGAAACAAAAUUAGGGUUUUUCAAAAUUCUUCUCUCCCUAGUUGGCCACACCUUUGAAAUAAUUAAUAGAUUGCAGUUUAUAAUUGCUUUGAUAAUUAACAAUUAUAUUCACUUCUUAAUAUAGAAACAAGAAUUCAAAAUUUAUUCAUGCAUAAAGAAUUGCACUACUUGUAACAACAAGGAUUUCAUACAAUUUUCCACUACUUGCAUUGAACUUUUCCAACAUCAACUAAAUUGUUGUAUGAUCCUUAUGCAUGGCAUCAAGACAAGUAGUUAUAUCAUCUAGAAGAUUAUCUUUUACCUAUAUUUGUUUGAUUAGCUUUCGGUUCUCUUCCUUUAGACAAGAAUUCUACUCAACUAGCUUCACAUUAACAUCAUACACCUGCUCUCAUUUCUCCAGCAUUAUCUUGUAAGUCUGCAAAAACUCAGCACUUGAAUCUUGUCUAAAUCAUCAUUAGUAUUAGAGUCAGUUGCGACAGGGAUAUUGACUUUAGUAAAGAAAGCCACAUAAUUGCUCACGUGUUUUUCAUUUGAAUUUGAUCUGCUUCAAGAAUCCUCUUCACUCCAUGUUACACACAAAAACAACUCAUUUGUGGCCAAAACCAUGACAUUUAUAACAUUGAAUGCCCUACUUUUUCUCCUUGGUAGACUCCUCAUUGAUCACAACACAUUUUUGUCUAUUUUUGGAGAAGUUCUUAAUAGCCUUAAACUUGUUAUUCCUCAUGGGUUGCUUCUUUAAGGCUUUAAUAAAAUUAUAAGUUAGCAUUACUACCUACUUUCACAGUUAUUCGAUAAUAGUGGUACCUUCAGUUGAAAUAGCUUUUGUCACUUGUAAGGUAAUGUUCUUCUUUCCUUUAGAUAUGUUUCUUCUUGACUUGUAUAAAUUGAUCUUAAAAGCCCAUAAAGAUCUAAUAAUUUCUGUAACGCCCUAAUUUUCGGGAAUCCUGUGAAUGUUGGCAUAGGUUUAAUUAUGUUAGUGGGCCUCUAGAAAGCCCAAGCUUAAGAUAGAACCCGGUAAUUUUAGUUAAUUUUUGUUCCAUAAGAAAAAAGUGGUGAAAUUAUGAAAUAGAACCUAUGUGAAAAUGUUUGAAAAUGCUAUAGGCUAAAUUGAAGUGACCAAAUAAAUAGGAGUGCAAAAUAGGAGGAUUUGCAUGACAAACCUCCCAUUUUACACGAAGUGGCCAGCCAUCAUGUUGUUGUAGACAAAAUGUACACUUGAUAUCCAUAAUUUAUGGUACAAAUUGAUACAAAUUGAUAAUAGGUUAGGUAAAUGUUCCAUGAUAAUGGGUUAGGUAAAUGUUUCAUGAUUAGAAUUUCAUGUCUUUUGUAUUAAAGAAUUAAAUGGAUGAAAUACGAAGUUUUAUUAAAAGAAAAAGGAGUGAAAAAAACAAAUUUUUGUCCAUCUUUGUUCAUCAUAGCUGAAAGUUAGAGAAGAGAAAGGAGAGGAGAAAGCUCUUGAGUAUUCGGUCAUUAGGAGGAGGAAAAUUGAAGGUAAGUUCUUGGUACCUUGCUUCUUUUUUGAGGUUCAUGAGUUCUUCUUGAUUCUUCCUUAACUCUUGAAGCAUAUUUUGGUUUUUAGUUGUGUUGUGAGCAUUUAGUCAUGAAUUAAAAUUAAGGAAAUGGUUGUUGUUUCAUGUUCUUUUGAUGAAAAAUGGAAGAUAGGUGAAGUUGAGCCAAACAAAUGAGCAUGCAUGUGCCUUAGAUGCUAAGGGGAAAAAUCGGCUAACAUGUUGUGCUUUAAAAUGAUGAAAUGGAGAUUAUACUUAAGUAAAAUCAUAGAUAUGUGAUGAUUGAUUGGUGAUAUACAUGUUUAAAUAACAAGCAUGCAAGUUAGGUGUGAAAGAGUGAUUUGGUGAUAAAUCUGCUUGGGACAGCAGCAGUAACGUGACUUUGGAAAAUCACCAUAAAUUGUGGGAGAUGAGUUAGAAGCUGCAUAAAUUAUGUAAUUAAAGCUUAUUAAGUCUAGUUUAUAAUGAAAUAAACAAGAACAUAUUUUGAAUUCUGUACAAUGAGAAAUUUGAUUCGUAAUGAAGAGUGGUCAGAUUAGUCAAACAGUGAAACAUGGGAAACUUUAAGAAAAAUCUGGUAUUGAUUGGCCAUACCAAAAAUUCUGAAAAUUUUAUGGAUAAAAGAUAUAUGAGUCUAUUUUUAGGGAAAAUUAACGGCACUUGAUUUGGAGUUUCUUAGCUCCAGUUAUAAAUAAUUUAGUGACUGUUGCUCAGGAAGACAGCUUGCAGUGAAAUUAUGAUUAUGUGGUAAACAUUGACAAAAAUUUGUUAAUGAGUUGCUUAUUGAUUUCUUAUAAGCUUACUAUGAUUUGUAGGUGUGGUUGGCCGAAUAUUAUAAGGGGUUAAUACGUAGUUUGUAUUUGGAUAGUUAGAUUAACGUGUUAGUAAUCCAAUUGUAGGCGGUUCGUGUGUGGAUCUCGUCAGCAUAUCGUCGCAAACAGGUGUGUAACUGACACCCUCUCAUAGACUAGAUUGGCAAAAGCCGAAAAGCUGAAAUGCCGAAAAGUCAGUAUUUUGGGAAUUUGCGAGUGUGCGAAUGCUCGUAAGAUAGUUGGGUUUGUAUAUUUGGUAAUCUAAAGUAAUAAACUGCAGUACGCGCGAUUUCGUACAUUUUGAUAAUUUGGGCUUAAUGGGCCAAAGAUCGGGUUCAUGGGCCAACGGGCCCAAUUCGGUAAGUAUGCGCGGUAAGUGUUCUGAUAGUACGUAAAUAGUUAGGAUAUGCAUGAAAACCCUGAAAGUAGCUAAAUUACUAUAAUACCCCUAUGUAUGGAAAAUUACUGUUAUACCCCUAGGUGCAAAAUUACCGUUAUACCCGUAGGGUUAAUUUUGACUGAAAAGCAUAGCGAUCUAAUUCUGUAUGAUGGAUGCCAUGAUUAUAUAUUUGUUGCAUGGGGACAUGGGUUAUAUUAUGGAGGAAGCGUUCUGGUGGCUAUGCCACAAAUAUCUGAUCUGGUGGCUCUGCCACAUAUAUCUGUUCUGGUGGCCCUGCCACGAUUAUCUGUAUCUGGUGACUCUGUCACAUUAUCUGUUCUGGCAGCCAUGCUGCAAAUUCUGUGGUGUGUAGCGGUUGGGUGGGUCGAGUUGUCUCCCCACACGGUGUAAGGUUGGUACGGGGGUGUAUACGGUUGGAUAUGGUUGGGUUUCUGCAUAAACAUGUAAUAUCUGUUCUGUUCUGUUAUGGGCCUAUGGGCUUUAUUCUGAAUUCUGUUCUGGGCUAAGGCCAACUUAUUCUGUUUCUGUGGGUUGAGCUGAUUUAGACUAUGGUUGGGUUAUUUUACACACUGAGUUUCCCCAAACUCAUCCCUUUUAUUUUCAUCCACGCAGGUAAUCCCCAACCAUAGUGGGCUUGGAGCUGUGAGGGAAUUCGGAGUGGCCACCCGUUCUGAAAGUUUGAUUUUCUUCUGAUGAACUGGACAUCCUUUUAUUUACGUUUGAAGUUUUGGGUUUUUAAAUGUAAUAAGGUCGUUUAAUUAUUUUUGAUGGUUUUAAUAUGUAUUACUAAGAUAGGUAAUACUUAUUUUAACUGUUGAAAUUGGAUAGCUUUAGGGCGCGUUUUCAAAACCAACAGUUGAUUUCAAAAUAACACGACAACAAGCAAAGCUUUUGCAAUGAAAGUAUUUUCCAAAAUUAAUCACUUUUCCUAAAAAUGACUUAAUCAAAUCGGUUUCCUAGAAAUAUCCAUGACGUUAAGGUGUGGCAAUGGCGGUAUGCAUGUCUAGGAUUGGAUCCGAAGGGAGCUUGGUACUUAAGCAGUCCGAUGGACUCACCACCUCUUUUUCGGUUUCCUACCUGGUGCAUAGCUUCCAUUCACCUUAACCCUUAAUGAAUUAAUCUUUUGAACAUCAAGUACGAUUUUCUGGACUUAGAAUGGAAUUUUUUUUUUACGUUUUUGAUGUGGCAUGCCGGAUCCGGCCAUAACUUCUGGGCCGGGUUUGGGGUGCUACAAUUUCAUUGAUUCUCGUAUUAUCAAUGUCUUUUACUUAUCUAAUGGUAGUGACUUCAAUAGUAAAUCUCUCUGGCAAAAAUCUAAGCACCUUCCUCACAAGGUUAAAAUUGGAGUACUCUUUUCCAAAGGGAAAAACUUGAUCGAAUGUGUCAUACAAUUUUGCAUAUAAUACCCCAAUAUUUUUCUUUUCUUACAUCCUGAAAGUUUCAAACUUGGUGGUUAACAUUUGCAUCUUAGAUUCCUUUACAGUAUUUGUACCUUUAUGUGAAGUCUCAAAAAUACCUAAAGCCUACUUACCAGUAGUGCACUUGGAUAUCCUUUUGAAUUCCUAUCCACCCACACCACUAAAAAUCGGGUUCAAUUCUUUUGAAUUGGAAUUGGCUAGUUUCUCCUCCUUUAUAGUCCAAGUAAGCUCGAACUUUUUUGUUUCCACUUAGAUGUCUCAUUUGUAGGGAACUCCCAUUAAUUGUUCAUCCAUUGACUUGAUGAAUGCAUUCAUCCUAGCCUUCUAGUAGGCGUACUUAGAACCAUCAUCGGAGGAUGAGACACAAGUGUUUCUUCCAUUUCAAGAAAGUACUGACACCAGGAAUACAACUUGAUAAGUUAAGUGGGAGGCUCUUCUACCAAUUUAAAGAGGACAAGCUGAUAUUCGUUAAAACACUAGAGCAAUGAUAAGAGUAGUUACAACUACAAGUUGAACUGUGGAAAAAGAAAAGAAUAAACACAUAGCAAUUUUUACAUAAUCGAUUUCCCUACAUUGGCAAGGCCUUGCAAGGAAGGCAAUCCACUAUCUUUAACCUUGUACAAACAGUGGUUUAAGUCCUAUCAUACACUAGUAUAGCAAUCUUACUUUUUGUACCUAAGAUCUAGAUCACUCUACUCUAAGCUUUCUCCCUGAAAGCUUAGAUUGUAAAACCAAGUGACUCACUUUUUUUUUUUACUUAGAAAAUUCAUUCACAAUGAUAAAUUCCUAAAGAAUAGAUCAAGUGCUAAACUCUUUGUACAAAACUUGAAUAAGUCUCAUGAAUAUAUGCUUUUUCGACUUGCUAACAUACUAAAUCAAUUACAAUCUCAAUCCCCAUCAAAGUAGAAAUAAAAUCAGCAUUGAGAAUAUCCUAAUAAAGUCUAGAAUAAGUUAACGACCUCCAAGAUAAGUUUCCAAGUUAUCCAACCCAAUCUUUUCAAAUUGAAGAAUUCGAUUGCUUGAUCUAAUUUGAUCCAAUCUUAAAGAUAUGCUUUUUUAUAUGGAUCGAUCUUCAAAUAUGAGCCAACAUACAUCCAAAACAACAUCAUAGAUUACGACCGAAUUGUUUUAUUACAAAAGAUUGUAAAUACUAAAUAAGGCAAGUUACGUGACUUGCACAACGCUGCAUUGCUCACAAAAUUACCUCAACAAUAGUUGAUAACAUAAUUAAAGUCAAUAAAAAAGCCUAAUUGAAGGAAAUUAAAUUAUUUACUUUAAUAGCUAUAAAAUCUUAUUCAUUCAUUUAAUUACUUGAUGGCAUAUACAAUUAAAAGUUCUAUCAUAUAUAUAAAUUAGUUUUCCCUCAACCUAUUGGCUAUUAGGGUUGCACAUAUAUACAAACGCUAAAGAAAAUAAAUAGAAAAUAUUGGUUUGAUUCCCGUGCAAUGCAUGAGUCUACUGUAACUUAAUAAUUAAAAUACAUUAUUUUACUUCAUAUUGUUUUUUUUAGUUAAAAGAUUUACAAAUAAUGCAAAAUAAAGAAAUUUAAAAAUAAUAUAUUCAAAAAAUAAUAAGUGAAAAAUGAUAUAUUCAAAAAAUAUUAUGUCAAAUUAAAUAAUUGUAAGAAAUAAGUAUUUUAUUUUGAUAAAAAAUAAGAAUCCCUUUUUAUUAAAUAUUCAUAAAUUGAUUUUUAAAUAAAUUUUUUUAUAUUUAUAUAAUAAUUAGGAUUUGAGCUCAACAAUUUUAUUAAUAUUAUAAUAGAUGAGGUGUCAAGCAAUAAGAUCAUUCUCUUGCAGUAAUUAUAUAGUGCCACAUAGGAUUAUUUCCUAAUUUAGUUGUAUAGAUUAUGUAUAAUAUAUAAGGUUAUUAUUUGAUAUAUUAGCGGAGGGGUUUUUAACUCGGCAAGGAAAUUUAAGAAAGUGUCAAUUGUCUUUAAUUAAUAUUAAAAAAACUAAAUAAAUAAUACACUUGAUGGUUUUUUAAGCCUGCUUGUGGGGUUAAAAAAUUUCACCAGUAAUAUAUCAAAUAAUAAUUUUUGUAUAUUAUUUAUACAAUGAUAAAUGGUUGAGAUGUUGAUUUUUUUUUUUUUUACAUUAACUUGUUUCAUGCAAAUUUUUUAUUUAGCCUACAAGUCGAAUAUAAUGGCUUAAUUUUGUUUGACUACUAUAACAGGAUUAAAUUGGUUUGAAAAUUAAGGCAAACGAUUUUAUGUCACUUUUUGUAUAUACUGCUUGCAAGUUAGGGACAAAAUAUAUCCAUUUAUAUGAUUUUUAUUUUGCAAAUUAAUCUUGCAUAUCUUAACAUAUCAACUCCAGAUUUGGAUGUUGAAACAUGUAGGUAUGGGCUCUCAACACUUUGCGUUGAAUUGGCCGCUCACUUCUAAGAGGAUGGAGCUAGAUUUCUUCUCUACUAUUUGUUUUCUUAAACAAUCAUAUUGUCAUAGGCCUAUUUUGCCCGGGCCCAUACAGAAACCAAAACUAAUAAUAAAAUUAAAUUCAAGCCAGCAGUUCAAGUCCAGUUACAACCAAUUCAAACCCAAUCAAAGCUAAACCCAAACCCAAUACAAGCCCAAUAACAAACUCAGAUACCCAUUUACAACGGGGCCCAAUGGCCCAAAAUCUAAACUUAGGUUUAGCUAAGCUAGCAAACCCUAGCAGCAAGGAGCGCCGCAGCCCCCAGCCUUCAGCGUCGUACGGCCUCCUUGUGCCACAGCCACAACCACGCCUCCGCGUCAACGAGCCGUACGCCACAGCUGGCCUCGUACCCUGUACCUGCAAACUAAAACACGACAGCAGCACAAAAUAGCAAAAAGAAUAUAUUUUUCUUUUUGAUUUUGGCUAUAUAAAGCCAUACAAGGCUAUUGUAUUUUGGGGGCUUCGGUUUUUUUACACAUACAAAGCAAUCAAAUAGAAAAAGCAAAUACUUCAAGGUUUUUCAUUCACUAUUUUUUUUCUCUCUUAUUUUUCUCUUUUAUUUCUUACUUAUUUUUUUGAUCUGCUAUACUAAUAUAAAAAAAAAAAAGAAGAAAGCUCUCUUACCUGUUGAUUCGGUGUCGACCUAGUUGACAUUUGCUUCUCCGAUCCAAAGGCAGACGGAUCCAUGGGGAUCUGGUUAAAGCCUCGACGGAGAUGGAGGCAUAUUAGGCGCUGGCGAAGCCCAAUCGACUAAAAAGGGAGGGGAGGCUAUAAGGGUUUGGAAAAAAACUUUCAAGCUGUUUGGAAAGAAUGAUCUGCCAAAUGAAUUUUUUGGGCAAAUUUUAGUUUAUAUAUAUGAUCAAAACGGCGUCAUUUUAUGGCGUAACCCGAUGAUUCGACCCAGAUUCUCUUAGGAUCCGUGUGUCUCAUAGGGAGGGGAUAAUUGCGCGCGCGGUCCUUUCGCAUUUCUGUUAUGUUUUAAUACAAUUUUACUUUGUUUUUUUAAUUUUGCCCCUUAAUUUCAACUCUGUUCUGAUUUGGACCCUAAGGGAACGACGUUAUUCUGGGGCGAGGAAUAAUUUCCUAUUUAGUCCUCAUGGUUCUGCGCGCAUUUCACUCUAACCCCGCAUUCUUUUUGUUGUAAUUGAGCCCUUUUAAUUUGUAUAAUUCAUUUUUUUUUAAAUUCACUUAACAUUUAUUAUAUAUAUAUUUCUUGAGUUCUCUUGAUAAUUUUACUUUUUUUAUAAAAUCUUUAUUUUAAAGCUCUUUUAUAUCAUAUUGUUUUAAAAACUUUGUAUGAUAUUCCAUUUAAAUGUUCUUAUAUAUAAUGAUACAUAUAUAGUUCAUGAUAAAGUUAGUUUUAUGCUAUAUACAUUAUUAAUUCUAUGUUAUUGCUAUAUAUAAUUUCUUUUAAAUCUACUUAUAUAUAUUUUUUAAAAAUCUUAUGUAAAUAAAAUAUAUUUUAUUAUAUAUUUUUGUUAUUUAAAAAUCUUUCAUAUUUUACAUAUUAUUUAAAUUAUUUUUUAUUGUAUGUAUAUUGUCAACUUUAAAUAGAUGUAUCAUUUUUAAAAUAUUUUGUACAUUAUUUGACUCAAAUUUCUUCUUUUAUAAAAUCUAUUUUAAUAAUCAUUUAUAUAUUCUUAGUUUUAUAUAUAUAUAUAUGUAAAUUAUUUCAAAUUCUUACAUGUGUUAUUCAUUUGUAAAUUUUUUUCAUAUAGUUUUUGCAUUAUUUGGUAUUGGCUCCUAGUUUCCAUAUUGUUUCGUAGUGGUUUUGGUUUUCAUAUAGUCUUUUAUCUAUGCUUAGAAAGCUCGCUAUAGUUUUUAUGAUCAUUUGUUUCUUUAAUUAAUUAUAUUACUAGUUUUCAUUGUUUGAGUUGUAAAUGUUUGGAUGUGAGCUUAAUGUUACUUUGUAUAUGGUAAUUUGCUUUGCUUUAUUUAUUUUUACACUAUUUUCAUUCAUUAAUAGAGUCCGCUAUCCAUGUAUAUUGUCUCAUAUUCAUAAUUUCGCCUUUCGUUCGCAAUUGUCUCAUUGUAAUUUUCAACUUAUUAAUCAAAAAUUAAUUGUUCCAUUUUAUUUCAAGUCAAAGUAAUGAAUUUUGAAUCGACUUUAAAACUUCGUCCGCAUUUUCUAAAACUUUAAAACAAACUUGAUAUUUGAUGUUUGGAAAUUCGGGAAAUUGUGCCCUAACGUGCUAGGUUUCAAUUUUCCGUUUGUGUAAAUAAUCGAAUAUCCCUUUUAAUUUCGUCCAUAUUUCCUAAACCUCAACAAGGCAAUAUUUAACAUUUGGAAAUUCGAGAAAUCGUACCCUAACGUGUUGGGUUUCGUUUUUUCGUUGGACCAAAUAAUUGAAUAUCCUUUUGUAAUUUUCAAAUGUACAAGCUUUUGGAAGUCAAGAAUUGAUCGUGGUUACGAGGGUUUAAAGGAUCGCGUCCUAACGUGCUGGAUGUGAUACUAUAUUCCUUCGAAACAAGAGAAUUUUGACGUCCGAUUUGAGGCAUUCAAAUGUUUUAAAAGAACUCGUAUUUCAAAACAUUUUUUAGACAUAAGGACAUUAUAUAAUCAAUUUAGUACCAAUUUUGGGUGUAGCGGGGCUGCUAAUCCUUCCUCGUACGUAACCAACUCCUGAACCCGUUUUCUCGAAUUUCGUAGGCCAAAAUUGAUUUUUUUUAAUACAAUAAAAUGUUUUAUUAGGUGAUCCGAUCACACCUAAACAAAAAAAGAUUGGUGGCGACUCCACACCUCGUUUUAAAGUCAAUCCCAGUUUUCUUCAAAAAUCAAAAAAAUAGUUUCGACACAUAUUGUAUUUUAUUCUUUUUACUUAAAAAAUUAAUAAAUUAGUUCUUAUGCAUUAGAUUAAAGAGUAAUCUGGUUAUUCUAUUAAAAAUUGUACUCAUGUCUAUUGUUAAAAACCUGUCUAUAUACAUUAGAAUGAGAUACAUGUAGCACACCACGUGUAACUGUCUAGUUAUUUUAUCAGCCACAUCAAUUUUUAAUAGUAGAAAUUGAUAAAAAAAUUUAAUAAAAAUGAACAGUUUACUCUUUGAUCUAUUGUAUAAAAACUUAUAUAACUUAGUAUAAAUGCUCGUUAAUAGGGGUGUGCAUAAUUCGGGUAAAACCGAAAAAAUUCGGUUAACCGACCGAAUUCGGUUAAUCGGUCGGUUAACCGAAUUUUUUCGGUCGGGGGUCGGUUAAUUUUUUUAUGAUUUUUCGGUUAACGGUUAAUUCGGUUCGAAACCGGUCGGUUAACCGAAAAUUUUCGGUUAACCGAAAAAAUUAAUAAAUAAAAUUAUCCAACCCAACCCAAACUCAAUUACCCAACCCAAUAAAACUAAAACUAAAGUUUACCCAAUUACCCAAUCCAAUAAAACUAAAACUAAAAGACAACCCAAUUUACUAAAGUCUAAAACCCAAUAUACUUUAAUAAUUUAUAAAUUUUUUAAAUUUUAAAAAUAAAAAAUAAAAAAAUUCGGGUAUUUUUCGGUAAUUCGGUUAAUUCGGGUAAUUCGGGUAAUUCGGGUAAUUUUUAACCAAAAAUAAAAAAUACAUAAUUUUCGGUUAAUUCGGUUAACCGACCUUAUUAACCGAAAAAAUUUCGGUUCGGUUAAAUUUUUUUAAAAAAAAAUCGGUUCGGUUAACGGUUAAAAUUUUUGGAAGGUCGGUUAAUUCGGUUAUAGUAAUUUCGGGUCGGUUAACCGGUCGGUUAACCAAAUGAACACCCCUACUCGUUAAAUUAACUUUAUAUAAGUUUUUAUAAUUAAACUACAUAUUGUUUGAGUUGUGAACCCCAAUAUAGUAAGAUUGAUGUUAAUUAUGCAAAUAAAAAGGGUUUUCUUACAUCAUAUUAUAAGGAAUGAUGCCAUUUGAGAGGAUGGUGUUAAACACGAGCACCAUAGGCAACUUGCAAACUCUUUAAUUUGGAACAUUCAAGGCUUCAGAAUAUAGUUGAUAAGGCAUUUGUUGUUCUAAAAAAAUUAUUUCUCAUAUUAACAAAAUCACCUUAAUAUAGUAUAAAAAGACAAUGUUGGAUUAUACUAGCAUGUUGCAUAUCUCAUAACUUCAAUCAAAGGUGAAAUUGAAAUGAUUCAUACUUCGAAGAGUAUAUGGAAGAAGGAGAUAUUAAUAGUCUUAAUGGUGCAAAUUCAAAUUCAAAUGAUGAUGAACUCGAUUAAAGACCAACAGAUAAUGAUAAGGAGCAUAUGUUAAAUAUCAAAGAGGGACUAACCCAACAAAUAUGCACUAGAAUAAUUAGAUAAAAUAGUAUAUGAUAUUUUUUUUGGUUAUUUUGAUUAGUAGUUGUAUUAUCAACUACUUUUUUAAAUUAACAUAACACAUGCAUGAUUGGAUUUUAAUUUUUAUUACUUGUUUAGAAAUUAUAUUUAUCGCACUAAUAAUUUGUUAUAGUAAUUAAUAUUUUUUUUAAAUAUAAAUUAUGUAAUGUGUAAUUAUAAUUUGUAUUACCAAACAUGAUAUAAGGAAUUACGAUGUAAUUACACUCUAUCAAUCAAACAUGUCUAAGAAAAUACAAUUUUUUGUAAUUAAAAGAAAGUAUAAUUACUACCUAAUAAUUACAUUUUCAUUUAAUUAUACUGUAUUGUUCAAAUAGACCCCAGUGUAUUCCCUUUUUAUUUGCUAUUUCUUUAAUGACACAUUCAAUAGGUGAAUCUAUAUAUAUUUAUAUUCUUUAAUAUAGGGGCUCAUAGGUUGGGCUGAGUCAACUUCAAGAUGGGCCUACAAAAGGUAUCUAGAUUAAAUUUUCAAGUUCGAACUCAACUCGACCCGAAAAUGAGCUUACUGUUUUGCUCAAGUUUAGUCCAACUUAAGAAAGGUAAAUUCGAACUUGACCCGACCCAUCCAUAUUUAAUUUUUUAGAUUAUUUUUAUUUAAAAUUAUUUUUAAAAAAAAUAUAAUAUAUUAAAUGCACUAAAAACGCUAAAAUAAAAAUUUUCUAAUACAUUAAAGAGUAUUUAUAUUAAAAAGGUCUACCAUAAAUAUAAUAAAUAAUUUAUUAUAUUAAAAACGUAAAUAAAUAUAUUAAAUAAGUUAUUGUAUUAAAUAUAAUUUUUAAAAUUUUAUAUUUUGAGCUAGGUUAUUUAGUUGGGUAACUUUUUUUUAGGUUUUGCAUAAUAAGUUUAAUUGUUAUUGAAUUAGUGAUUUAAUAUAAAUAUAAAUAUAUAAUUAUUUUUUAUAACAUAAUAUAUUUGGGUCAAAUUGAGCUCGUGCAAAAAAAAUUACCCGAGGCCUGGCCUAUAUAAAAAACGGACAUUAAAUUUUAACCAAUAUCAUUUUUUGGGUCUCAUAUUUUUAUCCAACCUUCUCAAUUUUUGAGUCUAACAUUUAGAUUAUUUAGAAGAUAAUGAAUUAUAAGUGUUUUUUUUUGGGGGGGGGGGGUGAUAUUCAAGUGUUUGAAGGAAGAAGAGUCCCAAACAAACACUUGUUUGCGACUUCUAAUUGAAAUUGUAUAAUCAAUUAUAGUUUUAAGAAGAGCUAGUUUCUUACCUAUUAAUUUUAUAUAUUAAAUAUAAAUAAAAUAUAAAUCAAUACUAUAGCAUGGAGCUUGGUGGUUGAGGGUAAAAGUAUAAAGAAUAUUAGAUAUAAUUAAUAAUUUAUCAUUUAAAAUUAUACAACUUUCUUUUUGUUUUCCUUUAUUUUCUUAUGAGUAGUUAAGAAAAUUUUAUGUUGGCCAUACCUUCAUUUUCUUAUCAGUACGUAGUUAAGACGAUGAAUUUUUUUUUUUAUCAUUUAGCAUUUUUCUUUAAAUUUUAAAAUGUGUUUUAAAAUAUUUUCUUUUCGAAAUUCUAUUUUUUUUAAAUUUAGAAUUCUGUGUUUUUUUAUUUAUUUUAGAACAUAUUUUUAUAAUUUUUUUAAAAAAAUUAUGUCGGAAAAUAUAAAAAAAUAAUGUUACGUAAACAAGGUAAGACUGAUGAUUAAUUUACUUCAAAUAAAAGAAGAAGGGUCAAUAUGAAUAAAAAUGUAAAAGUUAAUGGAUAAAACAUCAAAAUAUUAUUCUUUUACAUGCAAAGUAAUUUACCCAUUUUUGGAUAAAAAGACUACAAUAUAAUGAAAGAUAUAGUGAAUAGAAUGCACGAUAAUUGUAGACUGCAAUGAUAGUAAAUAAACAUCCUUUCUUUGGACAUAUGAGCAUGGAAUAUUGUGUACCCGUAUUUAAGGAAUAUCCUAAUCCCACGAGCCAUGUUCUGGUGCCCAGACAGGCUGCCAGAUGCUUCUUCCAAAAACCAUUCAAAUCAAACAUCGACUACCAAACUGUCAGGCAAGCCCGACAUGUAUUGAAAUUCAACCUCAUUUCAUAUUGAUCGUCUCAUUCCUAAACAUUAGCUAUUCUCUGGGUUUGGUUUGGUCUAUUUCUAGUCUAGGUUUUCAUUUCAGCUUUAAAUUAAUUAUCCCAAAAUGACUCCUAGAAUCUAGGUGCAAAAAUAAGUGGUCGACUCAUAUGAAAUGAAAACGCUGUCGCUCGCAUACUAGCGCUACUAAAUGACCAAUUAUUGCUUUGGACGAAUGCAGCAUGUGAUUUGCCCUGCCAACACAAUAUUCUUCCAUUUCCAGUGGUGGCCAACCGGAUUGAUUAGCUUAAGUGUCAAUUGGUCCACUUCUGAUUUCCUACCCAUUUAAUAUUUGUUGCGAAUGUUAAAAGAGUAAGGGAUGAGGAUAGCCAUUAACCACCAUCCGCUCUUUAAAUAAUACCUAAAAUAGGCAACCACCCUGCCUGCUUCAUCUAUCAAAAUUUCACAAAGUAAAUAAAAAACAAACCCAAAUUAAGGAAUUCUUUUUUCUUUAAAACUCGUUUCAUAAUCCCAUUAUUGCUAUGUUGCUGUAUCAAAGAGGAUUGUCUUGUUCAAGACUCUAGAGUGUAGCCAGCUCAUUACAGCAAACUCCCACUCCCUACAUCUUAUCCCUUAAAAUCCCCCCACUGGCUCUCUCCUUCACAUAUUCCUUUCCAACACAAACCUAAAGACAUGGCUUCAUCAUCUCCUCUUUCUCCCAUUCUCCUCUCUCUGUUUCUAGUAUUCAUUUGUGGGGUGUCAGCUCAAACGGCUCCCGCCCCUGCCCCCUCUGGCCCCUUGAAUUUCACUGGAAUCCUUGACAAAAAUGGCCAAUACACCUACUUCCUUCAGCUUUUGGCACAGACUCAAGUUGGGAGCCAAGUACAAACUCAACUCAAAACCACCACUGAAGGCUUUACCGUCUUUGCUCCCACAGAUAAUGCCUUCAACAACCUCAAACCUGGUACCGUCAAUAACCUGGACCCACAACAGAAAGUACAACUAGUUCUAUACCACGUUAUUCCCAAAUACUACUCCUUGAACGAUCUCCAAUUUGUUAGCAACCCCGUUAGAACCCAAGCUGGUGAGGAUUUCGGCCUCAACGUAACUGGCCUGAACAACCAGGUUAACGUCUCAAGCGGGGUUGUCGAGACUCAGAUUAACAACGCAUUAUAUCAAAAGAAACCU